rnacentral:rRNA from 1 species
UACGGAGGGUGCGAGCGUUGUUCGGAAUCAUUGGGCGUAAAGCGCGUGUAGGCGGCCCGAUAAGUCCGCUGUGAAAGUCCAGGGCUCAACCCUGGGAUGCCGGUGGAUACUGUCGGGCUCGAGUCCGGAAGAGGCGAGUGGAAUUCCUGGUGUAGCGGUGAAAUGCGCAGAUAUCAGGAGGAACACCAAUGGCGAAGGCAGCUCGCUGGGACGUGACUGACGCUGAGACGCGAAAGCGUGGGGAGCAAACAGG